UUUCUCAGUUUAGUUGGAUUCAUUAGUUAAGAUGCUUACUAACAUAUCGAACGUGAAGCAAAGGAUGGAAGGGGCAAAGAGCUGAAGUGUGGCUGCAGCGGGGCGCUGGGAGACAAAGCACGGAGGUCAGUGUGACAGACUGGGCUGAGGGACCAAGACAGAGUUCCUGAAGGCCAUUCUGCAGAUACUGCAAAAAUAAUCCAGCUUUUAUAAACCAUCCCAUAGAUGGCUGCUGCUAGGAGAGCUUUCGUUCGGUAUUUGUAGGAGGUGAAUAUUCUGGAGGGCAUUGUGUAUCUUAGGAGGUUGCACAUGAAGUUUAGAGCUCAUGGAUAACACUUAUCAUCUGGUCACACCAGCACCAGCUACUAGGAAACUGUAGUUGAUACAUGAUAGUAGAAAACAAGUUAUUACUUACUCAUUGUCCUUACUGUUCUUUUAAGAUACAUUUACUGAUAGUUUUUCUAAGAGCCAGCAGAGGCUGCUUUGGUAGUGCUGUCCUUGUGGAGCUCUGGCACUGCUGUCUGCAGCGCACACACACUGCUUUGGGCCCCUCUGCAAACAGUUCUAAAACCUCUCAGAGCCAAAAUGUGCUGAGAAGUGAAUGAGAAAACGAUUUCUGCUCUUCUCACGUGGCUGUUCCCAUCUUACAGCAGCGCUCCGUGUGUGAGUGGUGGUGUGACUGUGCACUGCAGUUGUGGAGUGUGGAUGCACGUGCACAGCAGCUGUGUGUGCAGGCUGGGCACCCAGUCCUGGGUUCUUGUCAAGUAGCUGUAGGGCCCAAAGAGUUAAGUUAAUACUACGUAUGUAAUGCUGAGAGGGAUUGAUGUAUCAUAAUGUAAUUUUCUGUAAGUAUGGGAUUGUAAUAGCUUGGUGAUGGUAUUCCGUGUUACUUUUUUUUCUGCUGAAAUGCUGUUAGUGGGAUAAAGUUGGAAAUUCACUUUACAAAUUGCUAGACUUUCUUCUCACCAAUAAACCAUAAAGGGUUUCUAGUU
rnacentral:lncRNA from 7 species